rnacentral:rRNA from 1 species
GACAGAGGUGCCGAGCGUUAGGCGGAAUCACUGGGCUUAAAGCGUGUGUAGGCGGAUUUGUAAGUACCUUGUGAAAUCCCACGGCUCUACCGUGGACGUGCAUCCAAAACUGCGUCGCUAGAGUCUCGGAGAGGAAGGUGGAAUGCUUGGUGUAGAGGUGAAAUUCGUAGAUAUCAAGCAGAACACCUGCGGCGAAGGCGGCCUUCUGGACGAUGACUGACGCUGAGACACGAAAGCGUGGGGAGCAAACAGG